AAGACUAUACUUUCAGGGAUCAUUUCUAUAGUUCAUGUUUUCUUUUUUUGAGAAUUAUCUGCUUAUAUCUGUACUCCAUUUUUGUAAAAUGGG
rnacentral:snoRNA from 1 species